rnacentral:other from 1 species
GGUUGCCUGGAACACAUGUCAAGGGCUCUUAAUUGAACCUACAACACUUGAAUGGGAAUCUGAAGUUCGUCCUGCGAUGUCGUGCCGCGCUUGUCGCGGAAGGCAAAUCUUGAUGACAGGAUACCCACCUAUCCUUAGGAUAGGCGUCAAUUAAGCCCUGACGGCGUUUCCGGGUUAUUU